GCAUCUCAGAACAAUAACUAAAGCAUAGAAGGAAGGCUAAAAUAAGAAUUCAGAAACUAUAAACCGGCUCUCUUCUAGCUUACGACACAAACUAUGAGUGAGAAAAGGACAAAUGAUUCGCUCUUUGCUUCAUUUUUUCCGAGGUUGUCACAACAUGAAAUGUCAUUUGGACCUAUUGGACUCAUUUUAACUCGGCCAAAUACAUAGUAACAUACAUAAGAAGAUUUUACUUAUAUUUACCGAACUAUUUGACACGGUCGCGUCAACUGUGUUUACGAGUGUCUUGUGUUCAGAUUGUUUUAAGUGAUAAUUUAACAAUAUUUUUCCAAAUAAAUGGAAAGAAACUUUUAUUUAUAUCAAAUAAUUGAGUGUCUCGACUGUGUGACAUUAUGUCUUGUGUGGUAUGGGGCUGCAGCUCACAUUCAGGAAGAAAAGAAAAUAGCCAACAACUUCUGUCGUUUCAUCGAUAUUAAAUCCAAAAGUGUCGACUGGAUUUACAUGAAAAGUCAGUUCAAGAAGACGAGAUGAAAAAUUUAAAAGAAAAGCUGAACAAGUCCCGCCUCAAGAUCAAACGACUUAAUGAAAAAAAAAAAACAAUGUGACAGGGUGUCACAAAGACAGUUUCUAAGCAAAUUGACACUGUUUAGAAAUUAAUAAAUUUGUAUUUAUUGUAAAUAUAAUGUACAUAAUUAAUAACGUGUGAAAUAAAUACUUGCUAAUG